rnacentral:rRNA from 1 species
GCCGGACCUGACUGCUAUCGGAUUGAUACUAAGCCAUGCGAGUCAUUGUAGCAAUACAAGGCAGACGGCUCAGUAACGCGUAGUCAACCUAACCUAUGGACGGGAAUAACCUCGGGAAACUGAGAAUAAUGCCCGAUAGAACACUAUACCUGGAAUGGUUUGUGUUCUAAAUGAUUUAUCGCCGUAGGAUGGGACUGCGGCCUAUCAGUUUGUUGGUGAGGUAAUGGCCCACCAAGACUAUUACAGGUACGGGCUCUGAGAGGAGUAGCCCGGAGAUGGGUACUGAGACACGGACCCAGGCCCUAUGGGGCGCAGCAGGCGAGAAAACUUUGCAAUGUGCGAAAGCACGACAAGGUUAAUCCGAGUGAUUUGUGCUAAACGAAUCUUUUGUUAGUCCUAGAACCACUAACGAAUAAGGGGUGGGCAAGUUCUGGUGUCAGCCGCCGCGGUAAAACCAGCACCUCAAGUGGUCAGGAUGAUUAUUGGGCCUAAAGCAUCCGUAGCCGGCUCUGUAAGUUUUCGGUUAAAUCUGUACGCUUAACGUACAGGCUGCCGGGAAUACUGCAGAGCUAGGGAGUGGGAGAGGUAGACGGUACUCGGUAGGAAGGGGUAAAAUCCUUUGAUCUAUUGAUGACCACCUGUGGCGAAGGCGGUCUACCAGAACACGUCCGACGGUGAGGGAUGAAAGCUGGGGGAGCAAACCGGAUUAGAUACCCGGGUAGUCCCAGCUGUAAACUAUGCAAACUCAGUGAUGCAUUGACUUGUGGUCAAUGCAGUGCUGCAGGGAAGCCGUUAAGUUUGCCGCCUGGGAAGUACGUACGCAAGUAUGAAACUUAAAGGAAUUGGCGGGGGAGCACCACAAGGGGUGAAGCCUGCGGUUCAAUUGGAUUCAACGCCGGA